UUUCGCGUUUGCUUUGAUCAAUGACUCUUCUUCUUGAUCACUAAACGACGCGUGUUAUUGAAGAGUUGCAGCCGAAGAAGUUGGACGUGUCGGGUCUUUAUAAAAGUGAAGUUGGCAUACAAAUAUAAAAUUAAACUUGAUCGCGCUAUCAAAAAAUCAUGUGAAGUUUCUUUAAAUAAAUAAGUGUGUAUGUUGGCAGCAACAUUCAAUGCCAAAAAGUACAUUUUUCGCGGCAUGUCUUUUCUUUAAACUGUAUUCGGCCAUACAUACAUAUGUAUGUACAUAUGUACAAUUGUUUCCGCUUUUUCAACACGGCACGACGCUUGCCAUUUCAUAAUUGCAGCCAAAGAAGUAGGACGUGUCGUAUCUUUUUUAAAGUGAAAAUAGUCUAAAAAUUAAUAUGUGCAUAUGUGUGUAUAAAAGUUAAAUUAAAAUUAUCAAAAAUAUUUUACUCGUACUGCGUUUUCCUAGAAUACAACAAAUUAGCGCGCGCCGUUACACGCAUACAUAUACAUACAUACAUAUGCACGUAGAAUGUAUUAAUUAUUAAGUGGAUUAAAAUUUUCGGUUCUCAGAAACGUAUGAACAUACAAUCAAGUGCAGCUACACACACAUACAUAACACACCGUGCGUUUACCGUUGCUUGGUCGCCAACAAAGUUGAGCGUGCCCUAGCGAACACACACAUGUAUGUACAUUUUCUGCAACACAUCUACCCACACACAGCGUGCGUUUACCGUUCCUGGCAAAGUCAUAGUGGCAAACAAAUACAUUCUCGAACCAACAUACAUAUACAGUUGCGGCAACAAAAAUAGCACCAAAGUGUGGGCAAUUUUUAUUUGUGUACAAAAUGGUCAUUUUUUGCAAUAUUUUUCUUCUGUGUGUAAGGGUAAGUAGGUUUACAUAUCGUUUAACUAAAGUAAAAAUGGUUGUGGGCGUAAUGCGAAUGGUUUUUAAAACUUCGAUAGAUUUAUGAAAAAAGUAGCAUAAUUAUGCGGCAACAAAAAUAGCACUAUUAACGGUUUUUGGGUAUAAAACUUCAUUUGCUCAGAUUUGUUGGCUGUUUUUCGUUUUGUUGUAUUAAGAAUAAGUACUACUAAGUGAAUUGGUAAAAUAAUGCAUAAAAUAGUGUUCCCAAUGGGUCAUUUAGCGCGCUGUAAUGAUACAGAUAGAAGGACAUUUAAAAAGCUAAUUUAUAAAGGCAAUGCAAAAGAUAAGUUAAGUUGAAUCGUUGAAUUCUUUAAAAUAAUGAUUAGUAGUUACCUAAAACAAGAACACAAAAGAAUAGCACGCAGUACGAAAGCCGCAAUGACCCCAUAACUGUUAAAAAGUCAUUUGCAUGAAUGCAAGUAGGUCCCGUUUUAGGCGCCUAUCAAGUCGCUUUUUUUUUUUUAAUAUUUGUAAGUACAUAAAAAGUUGGAUAUAAUGUACAUAAAAAUCAAUUAUGCGCUUGACGUCCAAAAAAAAAAUCUCCCUAGACUGCAGAGCAUGGGUGAAUUUGAAGGGCGAGUUUUAAAUAAGGCCCACAAUAAAAGGAACACUCUUAUAUGGUCUGGCGGCUGAAAAUUGCUCAUGUUUAGAUGAAAAAGACUUUAAAUUCACAUCAGGUAACCUACAUAUCCAAAAUUGAGUCCCCAUUUCACAUUUGCAAAGAAUAAUAAUGGUGAAGCAAGUAUAAUGGUAUGGGCAUAUUCUCGUACUAUAAUGUUGGUACCAUAUCAUAAUGUAAACCCAUACAGGAUCAACAUGUUCACCUUGAUAGCUCAGAAAUUGUGAUGCAAUUUUAUUCGUAAUACAAAACUAAUUUAUUUCCGAAGCUUUACCACGGUUAUAACCCAAAAAAAAUCAGUCAGAAAGUCGUACAAAGUUUUAAAACCCUUAAGCUAAAUGGUAUAAUGGGGACCUUACAAGCCCCAGAACUAAAACACAUCGAAAAUCUUUGCAGAAAUGUUAAAAACUAUGUUUUUAAUGCAAAACCGAAGAAAAAAAACUGCCCUCGAGCUAUUUUGAAAGAGCCAGACAACAAUUUUGCCAAGGGAAGAUUCUGGUGUCUAGUGACGUCAAGGUCGGUCGUUGUUGUUGUUGUUGUUGCAGCCCAAGCUUUAGAACAAUAUUUUUUUACCUUAAGGUGUAUGAAAUCAUACAUUUCAAUCAAAAAAAAUUUUCAAAUCGCGUUAUUUUUAAGUUUUUUAAGUUUUUUAUUUAAGUGGUGCUAUUUUUGUUGCCGCAUAACUUUGCUACUUUUUUGAUAAAUGUAUCGAAAUUUUAAAAACCAUCCGUAUUGUGGGCGUAACCACUUUUAUUUUAGUUAAUAGAUAUGUAACCCUACUUACCCUUACAAACAGAAUAAAAAUAUUGCAAAAAAUUACCAUUCUGUAGCACAAAGAAGAAUUGCCUACACACUGGUGCUAUUUUUGUUGCCGCAGCUGUAUGCCAAAUAUACAAAUUCCAGAACGAAGCAUAUAAAACUGGAUAAAAUAUUGGAGGUUCCUGUUGAGAAUAAAACCGAUACUCGGCGUAAGGAUGUGAAAACUUUCGAUGGAGCUGAGCUUUUGAAAGUAUGGCCAAAAUAUGCUGACUCGCGGGCGCCGGAAUUGGUCCAAAUCUUUAACCAUUCAUAUUUUGAUUGAUCUCUUUAAAACGAAAUCUAUAAUUUUCUUUUUUAUCUUACUAUUUAUUUCGCAGAUAACUUACAAAACUAAUUAGUGUUUAGCUAUUAAGAUAGGUAAUACUCUAAGAUUGUUUAAAGUACUUUCUUUCGUUUAUGAAUUGACAACUGUGUAUGUAGCGUGUAAUGCUAUAGAAGUUAAAACAUGCAACCAUUUGCAGGCAUAUGAAUGUGGAAUAAUUAAAAAUGUAUUAGU